rnacentral:rRNA from 1 species
AACGAACGCUGGCGGCAUGCCUAACACAUGCAAGUCGAACGAGACCUUCGUAACUGCUUGCGCACGCGUGCGUCACGCGUCGGAACCUGCCCUUAGGCUCGGGAUACCUCCCCGACGGGGGUGCUAAUGUCGGAUAACUUCUUCGAACCACAGAUUCGACCCGCUUGGAUGGGCGCGCGUUGGUUUAGCCUGUUGGUAUGGUAUAAGCCUAUCACGGCGACGAUCCAUAGCUGGUCUGAGAGGAAGAGCAGCCACACUGGGACUGAGACACGGCCCAGAAUACUACGGGAGGGAGGAGUGGCGAAUAUUGGACAACGGGGUAAGGGAUGAAGCAGCAAUGCUGGGUGAGUGAUGAAGGUGGUAGGGUUGUAAAGCUCGUUUACCCGGGACGAUAAUGACAGUACCGGGAGAAUAAGCACCGGCUAACUCCGUG